GACGAACGCUGGCGGCGUGCUUAACACAUGCCAGUCGAACGGAAAGGCCCUGCUUUUGUGGGGUGCUCGAGUGGCGAACGGGUGAGUAACACGUGAGUAACCUGCCCUUGACUUUGGGAUAACUUCAGGAAACUGGGGCUAAUACCGGAUAGGAGCUCCUGCUGCAUGGUGGGGGUUGGAAAGUUUCGGCGGUUGGGGAUGGACUCGCGGCUUAUCAGCUUGUUGGUGGGGUAGUGGCUUACCAAGGCUUUGACGGGUAGCCGGCCUGAGAGGGUGACCGGCCACAUUGGGACUGAGAUACGGCCCAGACUCCUACGGGAGGCAGCAGUGGGGAAUAUUGCACAAUGGGCGGAAGCCUGUUGCAGCAACGCCGCGUGCGGGAUGACGGCCUUCGGGUUGUAAACCGCUUUCGCCUGUGACGAAGCGUGAGUGACGGUAAUGGGUAAAGAAGCACCGGCUAACUACGUG
rnacentral:rRNA from 1 species